rnacentral:lncRNA from 1 species
CAUAUACAUGCAUAUAUAUUUUACAAAUAAACAUUUCAGUCUGUACAAUAUUACUUGUAUGCUUCUUUUCAGGGCUGAUUAUUAGAUUUGUAAUCUUCACUUAAUAUGCAGUGUGUGCUUGUCACCAUCUGUUUAUACCAGUCACUUCAGUGAAAAUAGAAGUCUGUGAACACAGGGAUUUUGCAAGUCAGGCUCCUGGCUGGAGUCCAGCUCUCAGCUGGGUCCAGGCUCUAGCCAGGGUCUGACUACAUGAUGCUCAGUAGAGAAGAGGGGCUGUUCCUGGGAGCUGCAGGAGGGAGAACAAAUAGAAGUGCAGGCCUGUAUCAUGAUUACAAGGAACUAGCCAGCACAUAUAUGGAACUCUUGGGCCAGUGACAGGAUCACCAACUCUGUCACAGUGUGCCAAGCCUCAACUGCUCUACAAGACCUCUUCUAGUCUUCACCUCACUACCUGAUUCCCAUUUAUACACGAACUUUGGCUGCCAGCAUGAAGUAUAUUCUUGAUCACCACUGGAAAACAGCUUCUGUGUGGUAUGGGACCUUGAAGCUCACAAUACAAAAUUUCUAAAUUGCUUUUAAAUAUUAAAUUCAUAAUGAUAUUAAAAUAUUUGUCUUGGAAUUUAGGACUUUGUCAAUCUUAGAUAGAUCUUACUAGUCAUCUGAAAAUUAUUUACUGUUUAGUUAUACAUAGUUAAACAGUUAUUCACUAUUUAUUCUUAAACAUUUUCCUUUCCAUGUUAUGAUACUUUUUCAGGGUCUCUCCAUGCUGUUUAUGAUGAUCUCAAAUUCAGGCAAUGAGGACUUUCUGCUCUCCCAAGUUCCGAGAAGCUUUUCCUGAAUACAGUUACCAUAUCUAGCUGGUGAAUGCCACAUCAAUAACAGAAGUAUCAGUAAAAAGCUUCAGAAGCAACAUGGCUACUUCUGCGGGUACUGAGAAAUAUGUCUAAUUAAGCUGGUUCCAGGCUCUAGCCAGGACCUGACUACAACCUACUUAGCAGUGAAGGAGGACCCAUAUUAAGAUAUGCCAGGAAACAGAGCCAAUGGAAAACCAGCAUAGACACAAAUGACAACUUGACAUUAAAGUAACCAACACAUACAAAGACUGUUGUACGAGUGAAAGAAAGCAAACAUCACCAUUCUCCAUAGAGGACGGAACUGUUCAAGACAGAAUAGUUUAAAAGAGGAUGGACAAUUUUAUGGGCCGUAUUGAAGAAGUUUGAGAGGGCAGAGAAACGGAAAUAUUACGGUAAAGAUCAUAGCAUUCAAUAAAUAAAGAACUUGUGCACCGGGUUAUGAAGAAGGAGGAAGGGGCCAAUUCCCGCCAAACCAUCCUGGAGUCCAGUUGCAGGUGACCACAUGUUUGGCUCUGGAACAGGAGAUUCAUGGCAAGGAAAAUACUUAUGGUCAAGAUUGUUUUUCACCUGAAAAAAGACGGCCACUUAAGAAAACACAAAGUACAGUAAUGGAAGUACUUUAUCACUUAAGAACAUAGAGCAAGGAGAGUUAUCCAUGUUACUUGUGUUGGAUAAUAAGAGAGAUGAAAACGAAACCAAGAAGAGGAAGCAAGAAGAAAGAAUGUAGAAAAAAGAAGACAAGUCUGGAAGAAGAAAGGAAGGAACGUGUGACAUGUUAAGACCAGUCAGGCUCCUGGCAGGAGUCCUGCUCUCAGCUGGUUCCAGGCUCUAGCCAGGGGCUUGACUGCAAGCUGCUCAUCGAGAAGGAUGGAUGCUCCUGAGACCUGCAGUAGACAGAGCCACAAGACACACAGCAUUUGCAGGGAUGUUGUGGGAAUCCCCACAAUCAUACUCACCUGUUCCUGUUAUCUCUGCUUGGAAUUAUUUAAUCCUGCUUUGGCGUUAAGACUGAUUAUUUCUGAGGCAAGAUUAGAGUCCGACUUCAGUUGCAGCAAGGGUGAUUCACUUCAGCCUUCAGAAACUGACAGAAACCUGAGACUUCUGUCGUUCCCGUGAAGAACUGUGAAGAACUUCUAUAUCACGAAUCUGGUCAGGAGGGAGAUUUGUUCCUUGUGGAUAUCUAGAAGUAUUAUACUGAUGACAUUAGAAAUGACUCUGGAAUAAUAAUCUGAAGGAUUACACAUUUGAGAAAAAUGAAGAGAAUAUUAACUACAAAGGAUUUUUUAAUGGUGUAUUUUAUGAAGGCAAGACAAGACUGUGUAUUUCUAAGGUGAGUGGUUAUUGAAGGGUAACAUACAGAAAAGACAACAAUCUAAAUAGUUUUUCCUCCAUUAGAUAAUGUAGUUAGCCCAUAUACACUAUUGAAAUUUAGAUUUUACAAUAUAGAUUAAGAGUCAUCAGUAAUGGCUCCAUUAGGUUUUGUAUUUUCCAGUUAGGGUGUUUUGGAUCCACAGGUUUUAUAUAAAGGAACACAACAGUGAACUGAACUAAGUAAAAUAUAGCUUGUAAUAGGAUAAAAGAAGCAUUUUGCAGAGUAGCACCCAUAAACAACAGGGGUCUGCAUUAUAUUUUGGUGCAUCCAUUCAUUCUUGAAUAUUCAGGAAAGACAAUAGAGGUAAAACACUAGGGCUCAUAAGUCAGAUUCCUCUGUUCUGUGCACCUGCGGAUAUUCUCCUACUAGGUACUUGCUUUCUAUGAUAAAUAUGUAUGAGUAUGGUCUAGUUUCACUGAACUCCAGUUCCUCAUUUUAUUACUACACUUUAGAUAUCAUCUCCUCAUCAUAGUAUAUACAGAUAGGACUUCUCAGAAGUGAGAAAUUUCUCUUGUCCUGGCUGUAAAGAGAAUUCUUGCAAAUGCUUAUGUUAUGUUACGAAUCUUGACUAAUAUGGAGACUUUGUCCACAUUUUCUCUAAUCAGAUGCCCACAAACCCAUCCCAUUCAUCAUGGCUUUAGCUAAUUUCUUGUUGUAGAGCCUCUGACCUUUUGUGGCUACUUCUAUAUAUUCAUGAAUUGUUGCUAUGCAGAAUCCUUGCAUGUGUGGUUGUGUAAUAAAAUAUAAUAUAGGUGAUUGAUACUAAUAGGCAGUUGGUAUUUGUAAAUUGUCAAAGUGAUCAAAUGGCAGUAGCAUGAAUGCAGUUCUAUCAUUUGAAUACUUGUUGGAUGAGUUUGAAAGGACUGUCAUCUUCCUGUAACUGGUUUUUGUUGGUAGGCCCCACACUCAAUACCAUUUUAGAGGUAUCAAGUCCACAAAGUCAGCUGGUGUCUCUGGGAAAGACGUCAAACCUACAUAUCUAAGGACUAGACUGGAAUGUAAUGAGUACCAAAUACAAAUCUGUGAGGCAUUACCAACCCUAUUGUGGCUGAUGGUGGGAUCAUAACAGUAAUUGUUUCUCUGGGAUAUCUUUGAAUUACCGUGUUGCACAGGGUUAUCUUCUACAUCAUAUAAUUAUACCUUGGAAACAUUAGCUGUGCCAAUUUGUAAAAGACAUUCAGGUGGACUGUUUCUAUCUCCAGAGUAAAGAGCAGACAUAAAGAAAACAUGAUCUAAGUAUUCACCCCUUUACUACUACCCAUUACUGCAACAUUACACUUGCUCUCCAAAAUGAAUAAAUGUAUAUGAGGUAGGUUAUCAGUGUAAGCAGGAUCCAUUUAUGCAUCUAUGGAAAAUAUAUCAUCUAUGCUGAGUAGAACUUCUAGGUAGAGGAUUUGAGUGGGAGUACCAUUCACACUCCACAUAAGGACAUGCAUUCUGUGCUUUGUAGGUAAAACCAAAACUUCAAUGAUUCCCCAAUUUUUGUUUAGUUUGAAAUUGAUUUGUCAAGAGGAACAUAGUAGGACCUGUAGACAUUGUUUACAUCUCUUCCUAUGGGAAGGGAUUAUGGUAGUAUAUGGGGUAGUUAAGGUUUACAACAAAACAUUAUAGAUUUAAGAAGAACAGUGAUGCUCUUGACAUGAUGAUGUGAGACACAUAGCUAAAACAAAAUUGCAUGGUAUAGUGAGACACAUAGGUGAAGCAAAAUUGCAUCGUGUAGUGGAGUUUUCAGAAGACAAUUUUACAUAGAAUUUGCUUCCAACUGGACUUAAGAGGUCAGUAGAAAGUUUAGAAAAUGUUUAAGUGCAAUGAGACAUGCCAUUAGGGUGAUCCCACAUGGGCCAUUAGAGAAUGAGAUACUUGGAUGAUCAUUAGAGAAGCUACCCAUAUGAAGCAGCAGCUAAAGUGCAAUAUAGAUGAGAUAAGUGCUACUGAGAACAUUAGGUAUGAGGAAAGCAGUCUAUGCUGAUGUGCAGUUGACUGGGGCUGAUAGCUCUGUGCUCACCAGAAUGACAUUGGGAAAAGGCUGAAGUAUGUAGGCCGGCUCUUACUGUGCUGCUCACCGUAGUCUCAAACUCAUCUCUGAAACCAUGCUGCCUCUUCACAUCAUGAGAAGCUAAUAUACAGAUGCAAACCACAACACUCAGCUGAUGGGUAUUGUAAAAUACCUCCUUUCUAACAUGCAAUUUUGAGAUUUGAGUGCUGGUGUAAAAAAAUAGAAAAUGUGUAUUUUUUAAAAGUCAGGCUUUGCUGAAAUUAUGUUUAUAUAUAAAUAUGAUUUUAGUGCUUAAUAUUUUCCAUACACAAGAAUUAUUGCCUUUGCAAAACUUAGAAAUGGUUGUAUUUCCUUUAAGCUUUGAAUAUUUAAAAAAUGAAAGUUCUAAGUAUUUACUUUCCAAAAUAAAUGGCCUCACGAAGCCUUCUAGAACAAUGUCCAAUAGAGGUGUCAACAAUUGUCAUCAUUAAAUACUUUUAAAAUUGCAAAUAUACUGAGGCAUUUAAGACCAGCUAAUGCAUUAUUUCCCCUUAAGAUAGUGUUCUUGCAAUUAAUAUUUGAGUGGUUUCCUUCUAAUCAUGAAGGUAGCUAGGGAUUCUCAAAGAUUUUUUAUUUUGUAGUUUAAGAUGAUCACGAGGAUUUUAUCAUUCCUUGUUUUAAUGCAGCUUGUUAAUUGAAAUCUUUGCAUAUCUUAAACCUGUAUAUUUAGAUAAAAUUUCUUCAACAUCAUAAAAAUUCUGACUAUAUAUUAAGUGUUUGGACUCCAUUAAUUAAUUAAUAUAGUUUACAUAUAAUAUUUACAAAUAAUAUAUUUUGAUCACAUUCUUUCUCAUUAUAAAACUUGACUCAGAUACUCCCUACCUCUUUACCAACAUAAUUUCAUGUAUCCUUGUUCAUAUGCAAGGUCUCUUUUUCUUAUGUCUGUCUUUCUCUCCCUCUUAAACAAUAACUAAAAAUGAAGAAAUGAAAUGAAAUAAAAGAAAGUAAGGAAAUAAGGAAGGAAGAAAAACUAAAGACUGAGCCAUCUCAACAUCAAAAAACAAGGCAGUAAUAAUAAAAAAAGAAGAAGCAAAUUUCCCAAAAGAAAAAUGAAACAAGAAGAGAUCAAUUUUGCUGUCUCUGUAAAUGAGGGCUGUUCAGAAGUGUGAUUAAUAUAACAAUAUAACUGCUGAUAUUUAAUUGUUUAAAACAAAACAAACAAAACAAAAUCCUAAUUUGUUUCCUUCUCCACAGAUAUCAGUUGCAAAUACCUUCUUGGGCAAGGGUCCUUCUUUAUGUCUACUUUCCCUUCCCAUGCUGGUAUUUUUGUCUGAUUUGAGCUUGUUCAGACCAUGUUUGGGCUGCCAGUCUCAGUGCCUACCUAUGUCUGACAGUAAACUUGUUUUUGGUAUUGUGCCUUUAGCAUGUAAUGUGUGCUUCUGAUUCUGAAUGCCACCAUGCUGCUCACCGCGUUCAAACUCAUCACAGAAGCCAUGAUUCCACCCAGCAUCAUGCGAAGCUCACAACAGACACAGACCGCCACUUGCUGCUGAUGGUAUUGUAAAACUACAUGGUCUCUGACUUUCAUUUUUGAAUUUUGAUUGUAUGUGUAUAAAAUCAAUAGAAAUUUAGAUUUUUCUCAUGUAGUAUCGGUUUGCUGAGUUAGGAUUAGACUUGGUCAUAUUCAUAAUUCCUUGUUUUCUAUACAUAAGAUUAUGUUUUUAAAAAACAUUACAAAAUCGUUUUCUUUGCAUUAAGCAUCACAUACUUAAGAAAGAAAAGACCUAGUAUUAAUAUUAUUUUAUAAUUUUACCAUGGGUGUCAUCAUUUCUUUUCUCCAACUUCUCUCAGAUUCACCCUAAGUGCAAACAAACUUCAGAUACUCUAGAUUAAGUAUGAGCACUAAAGCUGACUGUUUCCCACAUUCACUAUCCCUUUCUCCACUACUAGAAAUAGAAUAAAACAAAAUACAUGAAAAUCAAAAUAAUCGAUCCAAGAGUCUUGAAGAAAAAAGUUUAAUGAAGACCCAUUUAACAGCUGGUGAUACAAAGUCGCUCACUUUCUCUCCACAGGGCACUUGAGGAUGUCUAAGUUAAUUCUUGUGAAAGAGGAGACAGCCCUGAUGGGAAUUUAUUUCUGAACUGAUUUAUGGGUAUAACGGAGCCUAGCAUGUCUGCCUUCAGAAAGCCCCAAAAAAGCCGCUGAAAGAGUCAGAUGAAUAUAUUUCCACCCAAGCAAUGGACAGAAGAUAGUGACCCCAGUGGUUGACUGUGCCAAAGCUGGAAGAAGCUGAUGAGAAGGGCAACCUUAUAGGAAGACAAGCAGUUUCAACUUACUUUGAUCCCUGUGGUCUCUCAGACAUUGUGCCACCAAUUAGGAAGCAUACCAGAGUCUUGCUGUCCUAUUCACUGAGUUCUCCAACUCAUCCUUGAAACCACGCCUCCUCUGAGCUUCAUGAGAAACUCACAGUACAGAGGCAGAGCACCACAUUCAGCUGAGAUCCAAGAGUCUUGAGGAGAGAAGUUUAAUGAAGAUCCAUUUAACAUCUACAGAUGCACAGUCUCUCACUAUCUCUACACAGGGCACUUGAGAAUGCCUUAGAUAAUUCUUGUGAAAGAGGAGACAGCCUUGUUGAGAACUGAGCACUGAAUUGAAUUAUGGGUAGAACAGUAUGUUGGAAACUAACAUGACUAUCCUCCAGAAGCCCCCAAAAGCAGCUGAAAGUGUCAGAUGAUGAUAUUUCCAGCCAAGCAAUGGACAGAAGAUAGUGACCCCAGUGGUUGAAUUUUCAAAAGCUGGAAAAAGCUUAUGAAGAAGGCAACCCUAUAGGAAGACCAGCAGUCUCAACUAUCCUGGACACAUGAGAUCUCUCAGACACUGUGCCACCAACCAGGCUGUAUAUACCAGCUGAUAUGAGGUUCCCAAGACAUAUACAGCAAGAAUUCCUGGUCUGCACUAGAAAACAUGUUCCUCCAGCUGAAGUCACUGCUCCUGCUUUAAGAUACAUUGUCCCUGUCACAGUUUUGGAUCAUUCAUCAUUUUCAAAGAAAAGGAUAUACUUCAGGAACCAGUAUCUGACAAAACGAGGAGUCUUGCUGUCCUGUUCACUGAGUUCUCCAACUCAUCCCUGAAACCACGCCUCCUCUCAGCUUCAUGAGAAACUCACAGUACAGAGGCAGAGCACCACAUUCAGCUGAUGGGUAUAGUCUCAGAGUUGAUGUCCAUGACCUUAGUCAAGAUGGGAAUAUGGAACCUGAAGAGACCAACUCCAGCAUCCAUACAGAACCUCCAGUGGAAGGAUGGGAACACCAACCUACCUAUAAAACUUUCAACACUAAAAUGGUCCAUCCUAAAACAAAUGUACAGACAUAUAUGGAACAGAGACUGAUGGAAUGGACAAGUGGCAAUGUAUCUCCCAUCCCCACCCUCAUCCCACAUACAUGUAGCUGAGGUCUGAGUAACAUUAAUCCCGCAACAUGGCUGCUCUGGCAAGGGAUCAUAUCCAGAGACUUUUUAGGACUAUAUGAUCCAGCUGGACUGCAGAAAACCUUUAAUAUACACCUUUAAUCCCUAACAAUGAAGGAAUGAAAAUAAAGAACAAAUAAAUGAACUUGGAAAGCUGUCUGCUGAUACUGAAAUUCAGACCUCAACCUUCUCCAAGAUUUGCAUCUGCCUCCCUGGAUACAAAGAUGGGGUAACACUGGACUUGUGAGAUAUAUUUUUUUCUGUAUUUGACUGGUUGACAUAGAAGUCACAUUUCUCCCUGAGGAAG